UUAGGCCUAACACAUGCAAGUCGAGCGCGCCUUUCGGGGUGAGCGGCGGACGGGUUAGUAACGCGUGGGAAUAUACCCUUUGGUACGGAAUAGCCUCUGGAAACGGAGAGUAAUACCGUAUGAGCCCUUCGGGGGAAAGAUUUAUCGCCAAAGGAUUAGCCCGCGUUAGAUUAGGUAGUUGGUGGGGUAAUGGCCUACCAAGCCUACGAUCUAUAGCUGGUUUUAGAGGAUGAUCAGCAACACUGGGACUGAGACACGGCCCAGACUCCUACGGGAGGCAGCAGUGGGGAAUCUUGGACAAUGGGGGCAACCCUGAUCCAGCCAUGCCGCGUGAGUGAUGAAGGCCUUAGGGUCGUAAAGCUCUUUCGCCUGUGAAGAUAAUGACGGUAGCAGGUAAAGAAACCCCGGCUAACUCCGUGCCAGCAGCCGCGGUAAUACGGAGGGGGUUAGCGUUGUUCGGAAUUACUGGGCGUAAAGCGCACGUAGGCGGACCAGAAAGUUGGGGGUGAAAUCCCGGGGCUCAACCCCGGAACUGCCUCCAAAACUAUUGGUCUAGAGUUCGAGAGAGGUGAGUGGAAUUCCAAGUGUAGAGGUGAAAUUCGUAGAUAUUUGGAGGAACACCAGUGGCGAAGGCGGCUCACUGGCUCGAUACUGACGCUGAGGUGCGAAAGUGUGGGGAGCAAACAGGAUUAGAUACCCU
rnacentral:rRNA from 1 species